GAUGAACGCUGGCGGCGUGCCUAAUACAUGCAAGUCGAGCGAACGGACGAGAAGCUUGCUUCUCUGAUGUUAGCGGCGGACGGGUGAGUAACACGUGGAUAACCUACCUAUAAGACUGGGAUAACUUCGGGAAACCGUAGCUAAUACCGGAUAAUAUUUUGAACCGCAUGGUUCAACAGUGAAAGACGGUCUUGCUGUCACUUAUAGAUGGAUCCGCGCUGCAUUAGCUAGUUGGUAAGGUAACGGCUUACCAAGGCAACGAUGCAUAGCCGACCUGAGAGGGUGAUCGGCCACACUGGAACUGAGACACGGUCCAGACUCCUACGGGAGGCAGCAGUAGGGAAUCUUCCGCAAUGGGCGAAAGCCUGACGGAGCAACGCCGCGUGAGUGAUGAAGGUCUUCGGAUCGUAAAACUCUGUUAUUAGGGAAGAACAUAUGUGUAAGUAACUGUGCACAUCUUGACGGUACCUAAUCAGAAAGCCGCGGCUAACUACGUG
rnacentral:rRNA from 1 species